GCCAGACUCCUACGGGAGGCAGCAGUGGGGAAUAUUGCACAAUGGGGGAAACCCUGAUGCAGCGACGCCGCGUGAGUGAGGAAGUAUUUCGGUAUGUAAAGCUCUCUCAGCAGGGAAGAAAAUGACGGUACCUGACUAAGAGGCCCCGGCUAACUACGUGCCAGCAGCCGCGGUAAUACGUAGGGGGCAAGCGUUAUCCGGAUUUACUGGGUGUAAAGGGAGUGUAGACGGAAUUGCAAGUCUGAUGUGAAAAUCCGGGGCCCAACCCCGGAACUGCAUUGGAAACUGUGCAGCUCGAGUGCAGGAGAGGUAAGCGGAAUUCCUAGUGUAGCGGUGAAAUGCGUAGAUAUUAGGAGGAACACCAGUGGCGAAGGCGGCCUGCUGGACGAUGACUGACGUUGAGGCUCGAAAGCGUGGGGAGCAAACAGGAUUAGAUACCCGCGUA
rnacentral:rRNA from 1 species